UACGUAGGGUGCAAGCGUUAAUCGGAAUUACUGGGCGUAAAGCGUGCGCAGGCGGUGAUGUAAGACAGGUGUGAAAUCCCCGGGCUUAACCUGGGAACUGCGUUUGAAACUACAAGGCUAGAGUGUAGCAGAGGGGGGUAGAAUUCCACGUGUAGCAGUGGAAAUGCGUAGAGAUGUGGAGGAACACCGGUGGCGAAGGCGGCAUCCUGGACCGACACUGACGCUGAGGAGCGAAAGCCAGGGGAGCAAACGGG
rnacentral:rRNA from 1 species